UGGGGAAUAUUGCACAAUGGGCGAAAGCCUGAUGCAGCAACGCCGCGUGAGGGACGACGGCCUUCGGGUUGUAAACCUCUUUUAGCAAGGAAGAAGCGAAAGUGACGGUACUUGCAGAAAAAGCGCCGGCUAACUACGUGCCAGCAGCCGCGGUAAUACGUAGGGCGCAAGCGUUAUCCGGAAUUAUUGGGCGUAAAGAGCUCGUAGGCGGUUUGUCGCGUCUGCUGUGAAAACCCGAGGCUCAACCUCGGGCCUGCAGUGGGUACGGGCAGACUAGAGUGCGGUAGGGGAGAUUGGAACUCCUGGUGUAGCGGUGGAAUGCGCAGAUAUCAGGAAGAACACCGGUGGCGAAGGCAGAUCUCUGGGCCGUAACUGACGCUGAGGAGCGAAAGGGUGGGGAGCAAACAGGCUUAGAUACCCUGGUAGUCCACCCCGUAACGUUGGGAACUAGUUGUGGGGUCCAUUCCACGGAUUCCGUGACGCAGCUAACGCAUUAGUUCCCCGCCUGGGGAGUACGGCCGCAAGGUUAAAACUCAAGGAAUUGACGGGGUCAUAGCUGUUU
rnacentral:rRNA from 1 species